GAUGAACGCUAGCGACAGGCUUAACACAUGCAAGUCGAGGGGCAACGGGGUUGUAGCUUGCUAUAACUGCCGGCGACCGGCGCACGGGUGAGUAACACGUAUGCAACCUGCCCGUUGCAGGGGGAUAAGCGGAAGAAAUUCCGUCUAAUACCGCGUAAUAUGGGCGAUAGGCAUCUAUCAUUCAUUAAAGAUUUAUCGGCAACGGAUGGGCAUGCGGUGCAUUAGCUAGUUGGCGGGGUAACGGCCCACCAAGGCGACGAUGCAUAGGGGUUCUGAGAGGAAGGUCCCCCACACUGGUACUGAGACACGGACCAG
rnacentral:rRNA from 1 species